AGUCGAACGAUGAAGCUGGAGCUUGCUCUGGUGGAUUAGUGGCGAACGGGUGAGUAACACGUGAGUAACCUGCCCUUGACUCUGGAAUAAGCGUUGGAAACGACGUCUAAUACCGGAUACGAGCUUCCGCCGCAUGGUGAGGAGCUGGAAAGAAUUUCGGUCAAGGAUGGACUCGCGGCCUAUCAGGUAGUUGGUGAGGUAAUGGCUCACCAAGCCUACGACGGGUAGCCGGCCUGAGAGGGUGACCGGCCACACUGGAACUGAGACACGGUCCAGACUCCUACGGGAGGCAGCAGUGGGGAAUAUUGCACAAUGGGCGCAAGCCUGAUGCAGCAACGCCGCGUGAGGGACGACGGCCUUCGGGUUGUAAACCUCUUUUAGUAGGGAAGAAGCGAAAGUGACGGUACCUGCAGAAAAAGCACCGGCUAACUACGUGCCAGCAGCCGCGGUAAUACGUAGGGUGCAAGCGUUAUCCGGAAUUAUUGGGCGUAAAGAGCUCGUAGGCGGUUUGUCGCGUCUGCUGUGAAAACUGGGGGCUCAACCCCCAGCCUGCAGUGGGUACGGGCAGACUAGAGUGCGGUAGGGGAGAUUGGAAUUCCUGGUGUAGCGGUGGAAUGCGCAGAUAUCAGGAGGAACACCAAUGGCGAAGGCAGAUCUCUGGGCCGUAACUGACGCUGAGGAGCGAAAGCAUGGGGAGCGAACAGGAUUAGAUACCCUGGUAGUCCAUGCCGUAAACGUUGGGAACUAGAUGUAGGGACCAUUCCACGGUUUCUGUGUCGCAGCUAACGCAUUAAGUUCCCCGCCUGGGGAGUACGGCCGCAAGGCUAAAACUCAAAGGAAUUGACGGGGGCCCGCACAAGCGGCGGAGCAUGCGGAUUAAUUCGAUGCAACGCGAAGAACCUUACCAAGACUUGACAUAUACGAGAACGGG
rnacentral:rRNA from 1 species